GUAGGUGAACCUGCGGAAGGAUCAUUAAUGAAUAAACUUGGUGGGUUGUAGCUGGCUCCUUGGAGCAUGUGCACACUCAUCAUCUUUAUCUAUCCACCUGUGCACACUCUGUAGUCUUGAGGGAAAUGAAAAAGCAGGCUGAAUGGUUUGUGAUUAUCAUUCUCUUGAGUCUAUGUGUCUUCAUAUACUACUUAGCCUGUCGCAGAAUGUAUUUAAUGGGCCUCUGUGCCUAUAAAAAAGUUAUACAACU
rnacentral:misc_RNA from 1 species